ensembl:misc_RNA Metazoa_SRP Metazoan signal recognition particle RNA
GCCGGGUGUGGUGGUGGGCACCUGUAAUCCCAGCUACUCAGGAGGCUGAGGCAGGAGAAUCGCUUGAACCCAGGAGGUGGAAGCUGCAGUGAGCCGAGAUCACACCACUGCACUCCAGCCUGGGUGACAGAGCAAGACUCUGUCUCAA